GUCUUCGUAGUAUAUAAA
rnacentral:tRNA from 1 species